CAGGAAUGGUUCAAUCUGAUGAUCUGGUGGGAUGGAAACCCCAGGUCUUAGGAAGCCUCCAAGAAGCAUCCUCACUCAGGGAAGAAGAAGGAGACUGACUUGGCUCCAUGUCAGGUGCUGGGGACACAGAGGUAAACAAGACACUCAAGACACCUGCCCCAUGGAGUUUAUAUUCAAGGAGAUGACGGGCCACUGGAUAACUCAGGUUCCCAUCAGAUGUUACUGCUGUC